GCUGCCUCAGCGUCCCUGACUCUGUACGUCCAAGGGCAGCUCAGGAUGCCCACGGCGGGAGCUGCAGCUACCGAGACAACCUCUCGUCACGCUUGGCACUUUACCCUGCUCCUGUUAAAUGGUCAGAGCUGAUGGAAGCAGGACUAAACACAGCUCAUAGAGCUCAGCCUAGAGAAAUUACCCUAUGCUGGACAUCUCUGUCUGCCUUUCCAUAUGAAUAAGAAGCUUGGAUGCUGUCUGAAGACAAGAAGAAACUUUCAGAAGUGGGAAGAUGAAAACUGUGGAACAGAUAAUGAGAUCUGCUUAUAUAAUUCUUCCAAUAUCAAAUGAAAAAUACUUAGAAAAGAUACAGUCAUCGGCCUGAAAAUGCAUAAAUUAGUAGUACAAACCCACUGAGAGGGUCAAGAUCUUUUCCAGGAAUACAUGAAAAGCCAGCAAUUCUCUAAUUCCAACUGGAGCAGGAGAUCAACUUCCACAGCCACUUCAACAGGACGGCUCCCUCAGGAUGCAGCCAAACCAAGGAAGGUUGCAGCCAGUCCAAGGAAAUAAACAAAACUAGCAAGUUGUCUGUAAAACAAGUCUGAUAAUCCUGGUUUACCCAGCGCCACCGAAGCUCUGCCCUUCCACCUGAGCUGUCCAGACACUGACAGACUGCUGCAACAGACUAAAAAUUGCAAAGUAGGACCCAAUAUACUUUUUUUUAAUUCAUAACUGUCACUGUAUUUGCCUGCUGUUACUUCUCUGCUAUCAGCUUCCCUAUCCUGUCUUUACUCCCCCUAGAGCAUAUGUGAGAAUAAGAAACAGAACACUAAGGUAAGUAAAUAUAAAAAUGCUAAUGUCAGUAUGGAAAUCAAAGUUUUUGAAGGCCACCAAGUCAAGAAACCCCAAAAGUCCAAGCUCAGCUUUAUAAUCACUUGUUUUAUAUUCCAGGCUGCAGUGUACUUAGGUUUGCCCUGCUCCUUUGGGCACACAGAGCACAGAUUACUGAUCACUUACAGUUUCAUUCAACCAUCUAUUAUUUGCAUAGCCUGCAUUUAUUGAUAAACACAGACCUCAGUUUUCCUCCAUCUGAAGGCUCAGCAGGUUUGGCAACUCGACAGCAAACUUGCAGGUGCUGUCCAGAGGUUGUGGCCAGAGCUUCGGUGACUCCAUUAGCUAAGUGAUGACAAUAUCCAAACACGUGCUGGUCAGCUGGACUCAACAGCCAGAGUGACUCUGUUUCCAGCUACAAGUCGUUGUUAAAUUAAACACAUUCCUCCUGUUGUCUCAUCAUCUUCCUUGUACCCAGGAUUCAUUUAUAAUGUUCUAUGUCUCCAAUGUUUUUAAAAGAAACUAAAACAAAGCUCAGACAGUGCAAAUAUUUU